rnacentral:rRNA from 1 species
AUUGAACGCUGGCGGCAUGCCUUACACAUGCAAGUCGAACGGCAGCACGGGUGCUUGCACCUGGUGGCGAGUGGCGAACGGGUGAGUAAUACAUCGGAACAUGUCCUGUAGUGGGGGAUAGCCCGGCGAAAGCCGGAUUAAUACCGCAUACGAUCUACGGAUGAAAGCGGGGGACCUUCGGGCCUCGCGCUAUAGGGUUGGCCGAUGGCUGCUUAGCUAGUUGGUGGGGUAAAGGCCUACCAAGGCGACGAUCAGUAGCUGGUCUGAGAGGACGACCAGCCACACUGGGACUGAGACACGGCCCAGACUCCUACGGGAGGCAGCAGUGGGGAAUUUUGGACAAUGGGCGAAAGCCUGAUCCAGCAAUGCCGCGUGUGUGAAGAAGGCCUUCGGGUUGUAAAGCACUUUUGUCCGGAAAGAAAUCCUUGGCCCUAAUACGGUCGGGGGAUGGCGGUACCGGAAGAAUAAGCACCGGCUAACUACGUG